CCCACACCCCUCCCUUAGCUCCGCGAUGGCAAGCCUGCCUGGCUACCCUCCACCCAUGACUGACGCCCUCCAGUCAGGUAUACCAGGGGCAUUCCAGCCUAAGGGUCUAGCUGGUGUCCACCCUGGUCUAGGCCCACUGUUCAUACCCGGGCGUGAACUGGAGAAGGCAGGGGGCUCCCACAUUCCAGCAGCCAUUCCUACCCUGCCCACAACUGCCAAGA